rnacentral:rRNA from 1 species
AGAGGGAAGUGGAAUUUCCGGUGUAGCGGUGAAAUGCGUAGAUAUCGGAAAGAACACCAGUGGCGAAGGCGACUUCCUGGACCAAUACUGACACUGAGGCGCGAAAGCGUGGGGAGCAAACAGGAUUAGAGACCCUGGUAGUCCACGCCGUCAACGAUGAGAACUAGCUGUUGGGAAGUUCACUUCUUAGUAGCGAAGUUAACGCGUUAAGUUCUCCGCCUGGGGAGUACGGCCGCAAGGUUAAAACUCAAAGAAAUUGACGGGGGCCCGCACAAGCGGUGGAGCAUGUGGUUUAAUUCGAUGCAACGCGAAAAACCUUACCUACCCUUGACAUCCUCGGAACUUGUCAGAGAUGACUUGGUGCCUUUGGGAACCGAGUGACAGGUGCUGCAUGGCUGUCGUCAGCUCGUGUCGUGAGAUGUUGGGUUAAGUCCCGUAACGAGCGCAACCCUCGUCCUUAGUUGCCAGCGAGUUAUGUCGGGAACUCUAAGGAGACUGCCGGUGAUAAACCGGAGGAAGGUGGGGAUGAUGUCAAGUCAUCAUGGCCCUUACGGGUAGGGCUACACACGUGCUACAAUGGGCAGUACAAAGGGUUGCCAAGCCGCGAGGUGGAGC